UAUUUACAUUAAGUACUAUAUAUUUCAUUAUAUAUAUAUAUAUAUAUAUAUAUAUAUAUGAUCUUAAUCAUAACCAAAAUCUAAAAACAUUUGAAACCCAUAUCCAGGGUCCCUCUGACACAAACCCAGUAAGCAGCUUACCAACAUGCCAGCUUCAGACCUGGGACAGUGUCUGCACCCACCAGGCCCUGUCAGGCCCUACACUCAGAGGGCUGGACUGGCAAACCUAACAGAGAUACACCUGUGAGGACAGGACCCAGGAUUUUCAAGAGCUGUCACAUUGCAAUGACCCAAGUGUCCACAAGCAUUCAUUGGGAAUGGCCUUAUAUCCAGUCUGGCUCCCAAGCCUCCAGAUAGUCCCUGUUGGACCUAAUUUCCAACCCACUCUUUGUUUGGACUGGAGGCCUGGUGAUGCAGUGGUUAAGAGUUCAGCUGCUAAAUAAAGUUCAGCAGUUCGAAUCCACCAGACACUCUUUGGAAAUCCUGUGGGGCAGUUGACUCUGUCCUAUAGGGUCACUAUGAGUCGGAAUUGACUCAAUGACAACGGGUUUGGUUUGUUUUUUUGCUUAGACUCUGUAACACCACAUUCACAUUUACAAUCUCCUGAAUCUCACUGUACCCCAAGAAGAAUUUUUAGCUUUCUAGCCUGCCUCCACCUACCCUUCCUGCCUUUGCUUCCUCCAUGCCUUUGCUCUCCUGUCUCAGUGCAGACAGCUCAUCCCCACAGCGCAUAGAUUUCUUCAUUGGUCUGUUAUUCUUGUCCCCCAGCUCCAGGUCCUUUGCGGAGUGUUCUGGGAACUUGAGAUGCUGAGUAUGGAGAGAAAAAUGCUCCAGGGAGAGGGUCACUAUCUUCUAAUCUCCAAGAAGAUGGAUACUGACAACCUCUAGUCCUUAUUGAUGAGAGGGAUCGGAGAUGUCGACAUGCCUGAAAAUCGUGUUCUCUGAGGAAGGAUCACACCUGGAAAUGUUAAAUCCAGAGAAAAUAAGUUUAAGGUAUGGGAAGAAGUGCAACUUAGGAAAAAAAAAAAAAAAAAAAGGGCUAAAAGGGGUUACCAUUAUUUUGAGAGUCCCAGUGGACAGAACUAGAAUUGUGCAUGGAAUUUACAUUAUCCUAUAAGAAGGAAUCUUUGGGCCUUGGAUCUGUAUGCUUAUGGAAAGGGACGUAGUCCAAACAUAGUCAGUUUCUUGUCUCUGGAGAUGCUCAGAAUACAGUGAGGAUGUUGUAAGAGAAUCUUUGCAUUGAAUGGGAAGUUGACUAAGAUAAUCUAAAUACUCUUGGAGAGGCUCUUAUUUUACUUGUAUCUUUGGCUUGCUUCAAAGCCUAACACUAUGGACAACGUAUAGGGACUAAAGGGAGGGAGGAGGACUGAGCCCAAGAUUGGAGUCUGUUUGAAGUAAGGUAAUGUGUUUGAGCUAAUGCUGGGACACUUUUACUUGUAUAUUUAUUUUCCGAUCUUCAAAUGCCACAAGGAUAUGACAGUCCCUCGGGAAUUUGCUGGUACAAACCACAUCCUUUUUUUUUUUUCCUUCAUUUAAUGCCUAGCAGAGGCCCAACACAGGGGAAGUGCUUAAGAAAUGUUGAAAAACAUUUUUGAUUGAGUCAAAUUUAAACUUGCACUUCCGGUAUGAUUCCUGGGAGGCAGUAUUGUACCAUUAUGAAGAGUAUGAACCCAAGUAAGGCUGCCUUGUGCCUGGAGCUUAGCUCUUCAUUUACUUGAGGAAUGAACUUGGGCAAGUGGCAUAAACUCUCAGUUCUCUCAGUUCCCUUAUCUGUAAAAAAGAAAUUGCCUCAUGGCAUUGGUCUCAGGAUACAAUGAGUUAUACGUUCAAAAGGUUUGUAUCAGCAUUUGACACAUAAUAAAACAAAAACGAAAUCUAACACUGUUGAUUCUGACUCAUAGCGGCCCUGUAGGAGAGAGUAGAACUGCCCCCAUGGGGUUUCCAAGGCUGUAAUCUUUACAGAAGCAGGCUGCCACAUCUUUCUCCCAUGCAUCAGCUGGCGAGUGUGAACUGCUGACCUUUAGGCUGGCAGCUGAGAGCUUUAACCACUGCGCCACUAGGGUUCCAUGACACAUAAUAGCAGAUAUUUAUCCAGCACUUAAAACGUGCCAGCACUGUUGUGUAUAUCGUGCAUGUAUUUAAUACUCACAACAACUCAAGUGUUGGCUAUGACACUGACAGAGAGGUUAAGCAAUGUGCCCAAAGUCACAAGAAGAGGAGAUUGUAACACCAGGUGUCUAACUAAACCAAUGCUCUUGACCACACUGAUUUCCACUUGAUAACCAUCGGCCGUCAUUUGUAUUAUCAUCAUUCCAACCGGUUGUUGUUGUUAGGUACCAUGGAGUUGGUUUGGACUCAGAGCUACCCUUAUGUACAACAGAAGGAAACGCUGCCUCGUCCUGGACCAGUCUCACAAUUGUUGUUAUGUUUGAGGCCAUUGUUGCAGCCACUGUGUCAAUCCAUCUUGUAGAAGGUCUUCCUCUUUUUUGCUGACCCUUUACUUCACCGAGCAUGAUGUCCUUCUCCAGGGAUUGGUGCCUCCUGAUAAAAUGUCCAAAGUACACAAGACAAAGUCUCGCCAUCCUUGCUUCCAAGGAGCACUCUGGCUGUACUUUUUCUAAGACAGGCUUGUACCUCCCAGUGAAGGCUAGUUUCCAUUCUUUCCUCUCCUUUCUACCUCUGCUAUGUAUAUGAAUAUACAUACUAAUUCUCCACUGGGCAAUGAGUCCCCAGAGCGCUGGGACAUUAUUUGAUUUCUUUUGUCUUUUUGGAUAGAUUCUUGCAUGGACUUUGCACUUGACGGAUGCUGUUCACAUGUUGGCAGAGUGGAUGAAUAGCAUAAUGAUGUCAUUUGUUUAAAGCAACCAUGUUAUCUGGACAGUUGGUCUGUGGUUCUGCAUUGAGGCUCUAAUCUCUUCAGAGUACCAGAUUGGAAUCCUACAUAAACCAAUCUUUUUCCUUUAUCUUUAUUUGAUUUGUUGGUUUAUUUCUUCAUCUAUUUAGUUAUUUAUUUGCAGGCAGAAUGGUGUGUCCUGAGAAACACAGGGCUGUGUUUGCAUCCAGGCCUCAGCACUACAGGCGUGUUAACUCAGGUUAGUUACCAAAUGCUCAGAACUUUGGUUUCCCCUCUGUGAUGUAAGCAGAGUAACGCCUAUUUUUGAGGAUUCACAAUGGCGAAGUGAGUUAGCUGGGAAGCCUUCUUUGGUGGUAGAUGAUUUUCACACGUAGUUGCAAACCACAAAACUACCAAAGUGGAAGUAUGUGGCUUAUGUCAGUGACUUCCCCUGUCAAUCCCCUGGUUUCAGUUUACCUCAGUUCCUGGUAAGCCCAAGGUUCCCAUUGUUCACAGAAUUUUUCUCGCUGUAGUUGAAAUGUUGAAAUGUAGUAGGUCCAGUAUGGGGAGGGGAGAGAAUCUUAAUGUCUUCAUCGUUGCCUUUUCAACAGCUGGAGCUAUUUUUUUCAUUACCUUUUUUUUUCUUCCCUUUGCUUGAGGUUUUUUUUUUUUUUUUUACUCUUGGUUUUAUCAGGUUUUCUCAACAGCUUCAAAUGUUUAACUUUGAAGUAAGUGAACUUAAAAGAAGAACUGAAAACUCAUUCCGAUGGCCCGAAGUCCCCUGGGCAGCCUUGCCACAGUAACCACUUUACGUGGAACUCAUUAGUGCAAGCUGUUCUCAUCAGCGCCCGGAGGACGGUGACGCCAGCGCUCCCCGCUUUGAGCCUGGUGCCAGAGUCCAGCGCCUUCGCGGGGCAGCGAGGGCUUGGGGGCCCUGGCGCCGCAUCUCGCGGUCAGGGCGACGCCGCGCACAGAGUCUGGGCAGCCCCUGGGGGACCAGGCUCCGGGCGCCGCUUAUUGUGCAGCCGGCGCCAACCAGCAAAUUACAUCUGAGCCGCCUUUGAAGCCACCGGCCGCUUUCAAAAUGGGACUUUGAAAGCCGGGCUCCCCUGACUCUGAGCUGGGGAACGGAACUGGGCGUUUCAGGGAGGACUGGUUGACGCACACGUGCCUACCUCUGUGGCUCUCGGCCGGCAUUAAUAGCGAGAAUAAAAGGAAGACUUUGUCUGGUGGGUGUUCGUGUGCAGGGUUCCAUCCCUUUAUUGACAAAGGAAACGUUUGGACUCCUGGAGUUCUGACUGGCCAUUGGGGAAGGAAUGGAGCUCUUUGAAGUGAGAGCACUGAACGUUUUUCCUUGGGCUAUGUAUGUGUGUAUUUUCUCCUCCCUCUCAAGCUCUGGUGGUAUCCUUUUGCUUAAGGAUCCAGUUGAGGGAGAGGGGAGGACCCUCAAGACACAUGUAGAGUUAAAUUGGAUGGUUGAAACCCUAUUUGGGGUUUGUGAAUCCUAUUUCUAUUUUCUGGAGUCCCUAAUGGUGCAAAGGUUAACAUACUCGCUGCUAACUGAAAAGUUGGUGGUUGAUUCCACCCAGAGUUGCAGUGGAAGAAAGGCUUGGUGAUUGACUACCAAAAAAUCAGAUAUUUAAAACCCUAUGGAGCACAAAUCUACCCUGACACAAAUGGGGCACCAUGAGUCAGAAUGGGCUGGAGGGCAAUUUUUUUUUUAUUUCUAUUAGAGAGGAAGUAGCUCUGGUGGUGCGGUGGUUAAGUGCUCAGCUGUUAACUGAAAGGUCAGAGGUUCAAACCCACCUGCUGCUCUGUGGGAGAAAGAUGUGGCAGCCUAAUUCCUUAAAGAUUAAAGCCGUGGAGACCCUGUGAGGCAGUUCUACUCUGUCCUACUGGGUCACUGUGAGUCGGAAUCGACUUGAUGGCAAUCAGUUAGGUUUGGCAUUAGUCAGAGAAGGGAGAGAGUAGCUAGCUACCACAAACAAAACAAAACAAAACAAAACUUGUUGCCUUUGAGUGGAUUCAGACUCAUAGGCUCCAAGAGGACAGAACAGAAUUGCCUCAUAGGGUUUCCAGGGAGUGGGUGGUAGAUUUGAACUGCUGACCUUUUGGUUAGCAGCCAAGCUCUUGAUGACUGGGCCACCAGGGUUCCUAGCUGCCAUAACAGCCCCUUUUUCCUGCUUUUGCCCCCGCCUUUUGGCACCUGAUUGAAUGAGCCUCUUUGCACACAACGGGAAAACAAGUGGGAAGAUACAGUUGCUAGAACUCAGGCUCUGAAACCAGACAGGCUGGGUCAGAAUUUUCUGCAAAUCACUUAACGUUGUGAAUGUGUCCAACAGACAAUAGAUAUUCAGGCUUUUCCCGCAACCAGGCAUCACCAGGUGGUCCUUUGCCUUUUUAUUUCUGGCCUUCUCUAACUCCUAUUUAUGUCAGUCUUUCAUUGCACAAAGGUAGAGUUCAUAACAGUUCACAGAGCUCCAGUGCUUUCCUUAUCAGCAGCUCUUAUUUGUUGUGUCCUCCCUUAGUAUAACCGCCUUCAUACCCUUAUACCUACUUUUCCAAACUCAGCUUCUUCUAAGUCACCCCCUUCAUAUGCUGUGUGCCAUCAAGUUAAUUCCGACUCAUAGUGAUCCUAUAGGACAGGGUAGAACUGCCCCAUUGGGUUCCAAUGCUGUGAUCUUUACAGAAGCAGGUCGCUACAUCUUUCUCCCAUAGAGUGGCUGGUGAGUUUGAACUGCCUACCUUUUGGUUAGCAGCUGAGCAGUUAACCACUGCACCACCAGGGCUCCUUUCCCUUCAUAGAGGGCACCUUGUUCUUCUGUUUUAGCAGCAUGGUUCUGCCCUUCAUAUGUCUGAAGCCAAUCAGCAUAUCAUACUGGGUUACAAAGGAAAUAUGCACUCUGCCCUAGAACACUACCGUAUUUGGAAGGACCAUAACUUCUGAGUUUCAUAGCAAGGUUAUCAAUGAGUCAGUGUCAGCCUACAAAAGCAUAUUGAAAUGAACUUUUCCAGAAAGGACAUAUGGAUUCAGUGCAACAGUCCUUGAGGCAGGUCUUGUUAUCUGUUUCUUAUUCAUAAGGAACUAGGAUUUAAGGAUCUCUAUGAAUUCCAAGUGGGACCAUCGGUGGUUCAAUUGCAAAAGUGUUGCCUUCCAUGUGGGAGACCCGGGUUCGAUUCCCAGCCAAUGCACCUCAAGCAAACCCACCACUCAUCUGUCACUGGAGGCUUACAUGUUUCUGUAAUGCUGAACAGGUUUCAGUGGCGCUUCCAGACUAAGAUGGACUAGGGAAAAAAGGUUGGUUGUCGACUUCCGGAGAUCAGCCAGUGAAAACUCUAUGGAUUGCAGAAGGAUGGUGCAGGCCCAGGCGGCAUUUUAUUCCAUUGUGCAGUGUGGUCCCUACAAGUUGGAGGCUGACU